CCACAGCUAUAUGCUUUAGGGGCUGGAACAUGGAAUUUUGAAGACAGUGUGGGAACUUACCAAAAUAAGUCAAAGUUGGAAGAAUGGAUGCUGAAUUAUGCCAUGUACUCUGUACCAAUUCUCGGCAGGUAAAAAGAUAUAUAGAUAUUUAUUCAGCUUCAUCUAUUAUUGGAUUUUCCAAUGAGGACUUGUUGCACAUAGCAAGCAUGUAUGCUAAAGCAGAGGAAAAAUGGAUACAUACUACACAGAAGUUGCUGUUACAUAAAAAGGAAAGCCACAAUGAGUUAUUGCCUGCUCUAAGGAGGCAAAUUGAUUUGUAUUCUGAAUUCCUAGCAAGUGUUGCUGAACUUGCCCGCUCCAAAUGGACUGAGUUUAAUUUAAAGAUGAUGGGUACUGGACUUGGCAUUAUGUUGAUAUCAAUUCUUAUCCACUUCCUUGCAAUUAAGAACGUGAAGGAGUAAUACGGUUUUUCUUUUACUUCAUCUGGAGAUUCUGGGAUUUCCUUCGGGUUGAUUUUUUCUUGUUUUAUGGUGGUCAUACGUGCAUGCAGCUUCCUCUUGAAUAGUUUCAUCUUGGAAGAAGGAAAAGUGGCGUGCUUUCUUUUGGCCACAACUGCACUAGUUAAGAUGCGAUAUUCAAUCAUGAAGAAGAAGAUGAUAUUAGAAGCAUUUGUUUUCCUUCUUCUGAUCACCAUUUGCAGAUUUACUAUUGAAGUUGGAUUGUCGAAGCAGGCUCCUAGUUCUGAAUUUAUGAAUGCAUAUCCUUCAUGGAUGCUCGGGAUUGCUGCAGGGUUUCCAAUUUGGAAUUUUGUUGCUGAAGCUUUACCGGUAGUUGCCCUGCUUUUAUUGGCAUUCUUGCUGCGUGAGGCCAUUACUGGAAGCUCUUCAAAGGGUAUUUGGAAGUAUAUUAUCAUGGGAACUAAUUUAAGUUAUAUACUAAUAGCAGUGCAUUGGGCUUCAGAAAGUGACAGAUUGAAUCUGGCUUGGGUGCUUAAAGGCACUGGAAGAAGUUAUAUUCCUAGACUAAUAUAUGCCAUUGGAUUUGGACAAUUGUUAUUAUUGACAUUUAAUCAGCUGUUCAGUAAAAGGAAAUCCUCAGAUCACAGCAAUCUCUUGUAUAUUAAAACAGUCGCCAUGUUUUCUGCAUGGAGCUCAACAAUCAUUAUUCUGUUGGGAAAACAGGGGCCCUGGACUUUUGCAUUCACCUUUCUGCAUGGCUUAAGUCUGUUCCACCUUUUGACAGGCCAAUGCAUAAUGAGGCUGGAUAACAUAGAACUGGAUGUCAAAGAUGGAGGCAGUUGGAAUAGGAUGCUUGAUCCUGUUCCUGUAACACAGUGGAGCCUUUUUGCUGUGUGCCUGUUUUUCUGCACUGGUCAUUGGUGUGCUUUUGAUGGCCUCCGAUAUGGUGCUGCAUUUGUUGGGUUUGAAGAGUUCCUCCUAGUUCCCCAAACAAUCCUUCUUACAAUGGACACAUUUGGUUUUUCUCUCAUCCUUCCAAUAUUUGGAGUUCCAUUUCUUGUCGCACGCUUGGGUCAGAGCGAGAAAGGGAAGAAUUUCAUACUCACGCGACUAUAUCUGGUGUACAUGAUUUAUGGGCUCAUCAUGGCAACUUCAGUCACAGCCACCAUAAUUUGUGUUACGAUGCAUAGGUGGCAUUUAAUGGUAUGGGGUUUAUUUGCUCCCAAGGGUCUGAUCCUCACAGAUAUGCUCGUUUGUUUGGCCUCACAUUACUAUUUCAGUCAAGUAGAAGACGAUGCCCUACAACAUCUGUCUACCAAAAAACAAAAAACCCUACAUGUUAUCAACUCCAAAAUUUUGUCUACAUUUGUUAUUGAAUAUUGUAGCAAAUUCAUGUGAGGUAAAUUAGAAAUCUGCAUCGAAAAUUUUGCUGUAACUUCACAACCAAAUGCUGGCAUUAUUAGAAAGGAAUAUUGUGUAAUAUUUA